UCCAGGGGUCGGCUUCCAGAAAAUGAGAUGUCAGCUGGCAGGAAAGAAUUAAUAAAAGGAAGUAGCCCCUGCUGACCCAGGCUCAUUCAUAGUAAAUUUUGGAUUCUGGAAGUUUCUCCAUGGCCUCUGCUGCUUCUUAGGGGAGCACUGGGAGCCAGGUAUGGAAGAGUGGUUGUUGUGAGCAGGUUGUGAGGUGGGGGUUUCAAUUACCGGGUCCCCAGCUCUUUUGAAAAUUACUUGCUUGUAAAAGGGAAAUCAGUGACUGUUUCUUAGAUACCCUUUUUCUGGAGAAGACCAAAGGCAAGCUGAGGAGUAGCCACGCCUUUUGGGAACCUUGGGCAACAGGAGCUGGAUGAACCUCGAUGAUUGCAAGGCUUCCCAACCCUGUCCAAUGCUACCAACCACCUGCUGUUGUCAUUAAGCAAUUCAAAUCCUGGGCCACGGCUGUCAUGUUAGCAGGCAUCAGACUCACCUGGAGAGCUUGUUCAAGCAAAUGAGGGCCCUGGCCCUGCAAAUUGAGCCUCAGGAGCCAAGUGUGGGACCUGGCAUUGGGCAAGUGUAACAAAUCCCCAGGUACGCCGGCUCCUAUUGCAGCCGGACUCCACUUUGAGAGUCCCAAGGCCAACUCCCCAGACCCGAGCCUCCAGGGAAGAGAUCUGUGCUUUUCACAACUCCCCAGGUGGUUCUGCACAUCAAGACAGCUCAGGAAGCUGCUCACAUGAGGGCCACCUGUGGCUGAAGCCCCCCGGACCCUUGUUACAUGGCAGGUUCCCAGGCUUUGCCUUGAUUCUGAGGACUUAGAACCUCUGGGGCUGGGGCCCAGGAAUCAGCAUUUAACCAUAUCUCUGUGUGAUUCUGAGCUAAUUACAGCUUCAGAGUCCUGACCCUGUAUGCAGAGGAGAAAACUGAGGCCCAGAGGGGUGAACUGGCUGGAAAAAGCCCUUGCUACCACUUAGAAAUCAAAGUGAACCCCAAACCAGGUUGUUUUCCAAUAGAAGAACAAUAAUUCAAGGUUCAGGCGAGCUCAAGUUUGCCCUGGAAAUCUCAACAUCUGCCCCUGAAGCCUGGACAGGUUGGCCAGAGCCCUCUGGAUCCUGGAGUUCUCUCUUCUUAGGAGCAAGAGUCACGGGGCACCAGCCCCCAACCACCACCAGCCCUCACGUUGCCAAGCACUGUGGUCAUGCCCUUAUAACUUUGCACAACCUGAGGUCUUAGCCUUAGGUUCCCUCUCUGCCUGGGAUCUCUCACAUCUCAGCCCUCACUCACCCUCCAUUGAAGCUCCGUCACCUCCAGCCAGCAGUAACGCCCUCCCCUGGACUCACACUGAUUUUGCACAAUUGUCCACUGCUGCUCUCGCUGCGAUGGCAGGGCCAGCCUACUGAAGGAUCACAGCUGUCCCCACCUUCCAGAGGUUUGUCCUGCUUGCUGAUGCCUCUGUCGUCCUGGCCAUAGUAACAGGUGGAGAGGAAUACUGGAAUGGUGCUACCGAUCUGGUAGUUAAAUCCCCUUCAUCUGCCUUCACUUAUCCAGGUUGUUUUAAGACUUACCUGUCCUCCAAGCAGCAGGUAUCCUAAAAGAUAAGAUGUUCAUCAAACUGUUUCCCAGGAACUUGGAAUCAGUUGCCUAUCUCAAGCUGAACAGUUUAAGAUCGAAUGGGAUUCCUGACCCUUCAACUGGGCAUGCACUAGCGUCCUUAGAGCACUUUGCACAUGUGAAGCCCUGUUCUUUAGUUACACCUGGGCAGAAGGCAAUUACUGCACCUUUUUCCAAUCACCUUGCCCCAACGGCCCCAUGUCCACAGGCCUGAGACUGCCCUGCUUACUUUUUCUUUAUCCCAUAAACACCUGAGGCCCUUGCCUUGAGAGAGGAGGAUUUGAGAUUUCUCCUCCUGUCUCCUUGAAUGGCUGACUUGCAAAUAAACCCUCUAUUUGCUGCAAAUCCUGGUGUCUCAGCGUUUUGGUUUGCUGCGCAUUUGACAAAACAAACGUGGCUUAGUAGCACUACCCGUGGAAGCAUCGUGGAGGCAUGACACAGGUGUAUUCUUUACCAUCUGAGCCACCAGGAAAGCCCAAGAAUAUUGGAGUGGAUUGCCAUGGCCUCCUCUAGGGGAUCUUCCCAACCCAGGGAUUGGACCUGCAUCUCCACCGUUGGCAGAUCUGGUUAAUUGUUAUGGAUUUUUCCAGCAAGUAAAAGCCUUUGGAGUUUGGAAAGAGCAGGCUUUGUUUUUUCUCCUAAAGAAAACCAGCUCCGGUGCUUCUGCCUAGAGACACAGGUAAGAGGGAAGAAGGACAGAAAAGGAGAGAAGGUGGGACCUGGGGAGCCGGCCAUCCAGGGCAUCGCAGAGGAAACUAUUGAUCAGAUGUCACAGGCCUUGGGAAACUGUCGCUAUCAAGGAGAGAAGUGGGCCUCUGCUGAGCCUGGAAAUGCUUCUGGGCCUGGGUGGCUGUGUGGUCCUGCAGACAAGACCGGCCUUCCUUAUCUGCUCAGGCACGAGUUGUCAGGCACCACCCAGGGUGACACUGUUACUGGGUUGUGGAUAAGGAAGGAGCCUGUUCACAGUGACUCCCAGCCCAGGGAAGGGUCAGAGUCUCUUGAUCUUGCUGGAAUUUACAUAUAUACAACUUCCAAGUACUCAGGGCAUCACUGAGUUUCAAAAGUCUGUGGCUUCAUAGACACAACAGCUUCUUCAUUUGCAGGUUGGAGAUAAAAACGACCCCCAGAAUUGCUGUCAGGAAUAGCCUACGAAGUACCUAAAACACAACACGAAGCCUGGCGCUGGGUGUUAUCAUAACUACACUCUCUGGGCUGUUUCAGCUCUUUCCAUCUGGAAAGUGGGCUCCUCGAGGGAAGAGGGGUGACUUUGACUUCCUCUUCACCAAGGCCACAAGCUUGGCAAACUGUGAUUUUUGGUAAGGAGUGAAUGAAUAAAUGAGUCAAUGAGCGGAAUUGUGACAGCUGCUGAUACAUAGUAACCUCAAUCUUUACAGUGUAAGAUUUUAACCCCUGAUUAGGU
ensembl:lncRNA